CCUCAGAGGAUGAGAGAGUCAUCAGACGCCAUUCAGGGUUUCAGCAGCAGCAAAGGAUGGAGGAUCCCCUGGGCUCCUUGCCCGAUGAGCUCAUUCAUCGCAUCUUCUCCUCCUUGCCAGUUGAAGUAGCCGUACUUGCAUCCUCUCAAAACGGCAGCGCUACACUUGGGCUUCUACCCUGCACCUCAACCUGGUGAUCUACCAGGAGGCACCAUUUUUUGAAUCUUUUAUGGAUAAUUUCAUGUCACUUCAUUCAUCACAGGCAAUAGAAUGGUUGUCCUUUCGUUCGCGCUGAUGAUUUGGAUUUGAAUCCAAUUGAAGUCAGCCUUGUGCCUUUGCUUCGAUUUUUUGUACUUGACCGUGGCAUCAAGGAUCUGUCACUCAGCUUUCCUAAACGAUGAGGAGAUCGGAAAGAAUCAUCGCGGGCAGUCCCAGUCUUGAAUUCUUGAAAUUGAAGUGUUGUGAUUUUAUUAAUUACAUCCAAGUGAAGUCAUCAAAGAUGAAGGAGUUGGUGAUCGAUGGUAUUACUAAUGCCCCUAACUACAAACAUAAAACACCGGAAAUCUCUGCUCUGAAACUACAAGUGCUACGGACUCUAGGGAUCAUAAAUGGAAAGGAGCACUAUUUGAGAGAAGACCAUAAAUUCUGGAAUAGCCGAAGAAACAGAUUCAUGCACUUGGGGAAGUGCCUCAAGAGGUUGAUAUAAUUGUUCUUUACCUGCAUUUUCCGUAGUGGGAUUCCUUGAUUG